CAGGGGGUGGUGGUACUACAUAUAACAUUACCAGCCGUUCAUUAAGCUUACAACAUCAUGAACAUAAAAAAGCAUCCACAAUCCUGGCAAUGCCAGCGAGAAAUCGAAUGGACAUAACCUUAAUAAAACAGAGGUCCAUGACUUAGAGCAAGGAUCACGAUAUCGUUACCAUGAUAUAGGAGGAACAGAAUAGAACAGCCGACGAACAACCCAGACAAUUGAAGCAUGAACUCUUCAACUGGAUAGACGGUCACUUGUCAACACAAAAAUUCCAGCCCGACUCGGACGGGUUCAAUGACCAAUACAAUCUAAACAACUGAGAUUAGAAGCAACCAGACAAUCGCGUCGGCACAAAGCUGAAACACCAGAAGUUGCCUUCCCCUCAGCCAUAUCCUCGUCCCGUUUAUCAUCCAUGGGUGUUCAAUGCCUCCCAGACCAAAUUCUUCGGAGCGCCGCCGCCGCCGCCUGUGGCGCUCCUGGCCUGCAAUGCGGCAGCCCUGAGUGUCUUCCAUGUAAGCACAUUUGCGUCCCAGAAGGAGGCUGCGGAAUAGGUCAGCCCAUGCUUCUUGCAAAGGUCACGCACCGCCGGCGCAACCUUCCGAAGGUGGCACCGAGGCAGGCGGGGGAACAGAUGGUGCUCAAUCUGGAACUGCAGGCCGCCAUGGAACCAAUCCAUCCAAGGAGGGCACAGGAUGUCGAGCGUGCCUGCCGUCUGCUUCUCGAACCAGUCGUUGCCCUUGGGUGGCCCGACGUACACAUCGGACGAGAAGUGGUUCAGGCAGAAUUGGACGUGCUGGAUCCCGCAGAUGGUAAAGCUGAGAAGCACGAACGCCACCCUCUCCCACCAAUUCGGCAGGCACGCCACCAGCAACGGGUACCAAGCCCAGAACGCGGCGACACCGGCGAUCUCAAGCAGCCGCUGCGGCACCCUCUUCUCGGUCAGGACGAAGACAGCGGACUGCGCCAGAAGAUUUAUCCUGGCGAUGCACAUUACCGGGUAGAAGGUCCAGUGCUGGUAGCUGAUGAGGAAUUUCGAGGCGGCGUCGAAGGCCAGGGUCCGCUGGUAGAAGUAGGACCAUAUGUUGCCGAACAGCUUGGGGGAGACAGCGAAGAGCGGCAUGUGCUGGAGGUCCGGGUCAUGGUCCAGGCUGUUGCAGGCGAUGUGGUGCGUGUUGUGGUUGCAUUUCCACCAGGCGAUGCUGAGGCCAGUGAGGCAGUUUCCGGAGAGCACCUGCACGACGCGGUCCAGGAGCGGAUGGCCCGUGAUGCGGUGGUGGCCCGAGUCGUGGCCCAUCCAGCCGGACUGGAUCCAGACGAAGCCGAUGAGCCCCCCAGCGAGCAUGUGCGCCGAGGCGCUGGCGCAGGCGAGGACGAGGUAGAGCGCCGCGUAGAAGAGGACGGCCAUCAGGGCGAGCUGUACCCUGGGGGUGGGGCCGACGCGCUCGAAGAGGCCCGCGGAGGAGAGCUGCGCCAGGAGGCGGCGGUAGUCGGCGGACGCGGGGGAGACGGUGUAGUCGGAGAGGCGGCCGACGAAGAAGCGGCGGAGGAGCGGGCGCGCCGAGGGCGGGUGGUAGGCGGCGAAGGCGUCGGUGGCGUCCUGCCCCGCCAAGGUGAUGAGCGGGAGGUCGCCGCCCGGGUGGUGGGGAAGCCAGGGCGUCACGUCGUACACGUCGCCCGAGAUGGAGAUCCAGAGGUCGGCGGCGGACGCGUGCUCGCGGAGCUCCUUGGAGGAGAUCAAGCGCACGUCGCCGGCGCACGCGGCGUCUCCGGGGGCCGGCAUUGCGUCGGCAGAGGGCGGCAUUGCGCGGCCGUGGCCCCUAUGGGUGGUGCUGAUUUGGGAGGGUCGGAGGGGGAGGCGGGGAGAA
rnacentral:misc_RNA from 1 species